AUAUAUUGGCAGUUCCCAUCGGGUUGGGUUUAUCCUCUCGGUAGACGGGCUCCAUGGUAGUUUGUGUCUCUGAGAGACGGAAACAGUAAAGCGACUGACAGACAAUACCGACACACGUUCCUUGGGCGAGCAAUCACGGGCCAGGGGGUCGGAAACGGAAGCAGGUUUCGGAGCCAGUAAAGGAGGUGGACGCAAAGAGGCGGAAGCUGGUCUAACGAAGGAGAAGUUACCACGGUGAUUGUGCUCUCCGAUUGCUGGGUAGAAUCACCUGUGUUAUUGUCGGUUAGUCCGUGCUGUUGCUGUUUUAGCUUCAAAUCAACACUUUCAGAGAUAUUAUACCACAUUUCUGGAACAGGUAGUCUUGAAGCCGGACCUCCUGCCUUAGAGGUCAAGCAAAAGCGCCUUUGACACAUUAUGAGGCCUGGUCAACAAGGUGGAUUUGAAGAAGCAUUUGAAAGGAACAGUUAAUAUUCCUCAGCUUGCUGGAAGCUGUUUGCAUUGACCAUAUGUUCAGAAACCAUAUGCCUGUGAUACAGCUGUGAUUCUAUGCAUCGUGGAAGUCCCCACCUGCUUCAAGAUGGCCACCAUCAUCCUGGUACCAAAGAAAACACAUGCAGCGUGCUUCAGUGACUACCAUUCGAUGGCUCUGACCUCUAUAAUUAUGAAGUGCUUUGAGAGGCUAGCCAUAGCUCAUUAUCAAGUCAUUACCUAGUCUUCCAACCUGCCUUGAUUCCUUGCAAUUUGUCUACUGUUGCAACAGGUCAAUGGCAGGUGCUAUAUCACUGGCCUGACACUCAUUCUUGGAAUAUCUGCAACACAAGGAUAGCCUAGGUCAGAUUCCUACUUGUUGACCACAGCUCCAUUUUCAACAUUAUAAUUCCAACCAAACUAAUCUUGAAACUCUAAGACUUAGGCCUCUGCUCCACCUUCUGCAACUGGAUUCUUGACUUCCGGUCCAACAGAUUGCAAUCAGUGAAAAUAGGCAACAAUACUUCCUCCAUGUCAGUCUUUGACACUGGGAAACUGCAAUACUGCAUACUCAGCCCCUUACCAUACUCCCUGUACAUUCAUGACUGUGUGGCCAAAUUUCAUCCCAAAUCCAUCUACCAGUUUGCUGAUGAUACCACCGCUGUUGACCAGAUUUCAAAUAAUGAUGAGACAGAAUAGUGGAAAGAAAUUGCUGCUUCGUGACGUGGUGUAAAGAUAACAAUCUCUCCCUCAAUGAAAGCAAAACUAAAGAGCUUAUCAUUGACUUCAGGAAACAAGGGGGAGGGCAUACCCCUAUUUACAUUAGGAGUUGAGGUGGAGAUGAUCAAAAGCGUCAAGUUGUUAGGAGUGACGAUCACCAGCAAUCUUUCCUGGUCCACCCACAUUGAAUGUGUCUGUCAAGAAAGUACAAUAACGCCUCUACUUCCUCAGGAGGCUAAGGAAAUUCAGCACAUCCAUAAUGAUUCUUACCAAUUUUUAUAGAUCCACCAUUGAAAGUAUUCUAUUGAGAUGCAUCACAGCUUGGUAUUGCAACUGCCCUGCCCAGGACCCUAAGAAACUACUGAGAAUUGUGAACACAGCCCAGUCCAUCACGCAAGCCAAUCUUCCAUUCAUUGACUUCUCAUUGCCUUGGAAAGGCAGCGAACAUAAUCAAAAGUCCCUCCCAAUUUUUCAUCGGGCAGCAGAUACAAAAGCUUAAACACACAAACCAACAGAUUCAACAAAAGCUUCUUCUGUGCAAUUAUUAGACUUUUGAAUGAACAUUUCAAAAUUAAAAUUUAAUGUUGAUCCCACCCUUUGUGCACUUUUUCUGUAGCCAUAACACUGUGUUUAUCGCUCUGCUGUAUUAUGCCUGUGCACUUUGUAUGGUGUGAUCUGCCUGUACUGCACGCAAAACAACACUUUUCGCUGUACCUAGGUACACGUGACAGUAGAAGUGAACUAGCCAGUCUAUCUCUUAUUUUUCUUUUGAUUUAUCUCUUAACUGUGUGUCUGUCUAUCUUUGUGAGAGUAGGGGCUAGAAUUAAAGAAGAUUGGAUUUAAAUCAGAGACAUUAAUUAGAUUACCCUGUUGUUUAACUUUGCUCUGCUAAAGCUAAUGUAUUAAUAAUAAAUUAUUAAUUGUUUUGUUUAAGCUUUAAACUUGUAAGGGAUCAGUCAUUCAAAAAAGCUGGUAUCGGUUAUUCAGAAAGUCUGAUUAGGGUCAAUUUUGAGUAUUGUAAUUUUACUGUGUUGUGAUUACAGGGAUAGGGAAGUUGGUGUGAUUUGGCUGUUUGUUACCUUGUCAUAACAGGUAGGAGACAGACUGUCAUGGUCAAAAACUGUUUGUCUGACUGGAGGACCGUGUCCAGGGACAUACCACAGGCAUCAGUGCUGAAUCCCUUAUUGUUUGUGAUAUAGAUAACCAGAAGUUAGAAGUAUAAGGAUGCACAUGCUAUGCUGCAGCUAGACAAAACCCUGUUUAGAUCCCAUUUGGAGCACUGUGAGCAGAUUUGUGCACCACAAAUUAAGGCCUUGGAGGGAAUAUGACAGGAUAAUAUAAGAAUAGUAUCUGCACUUCAGGAGUUGUUAUGAGGAUAUCUUAUACAAAUUUAGGCCUGUUUUCUCUAGAACUUAGAAGGUAACGGGAUGAAGUAAUUCAAGUUUUCGAGAUACUAACAGGAAAAUACAGAGUAAAUAAACUGUAAGGUUUUAGAAUAGAUUUGUAACUUGCGUUGUGGAUGUUGUGGUUGGUUGAUUCACUGAGCUGGUUUGUCGUUCUGCAGACAUUUCAUUACCCUACUGGGUUACAUCAUCAGUGCAGCCUCCGAGAAAGUGCUGUUGUGUUUUCCCGUCUGUUAUUUAAACUCUGGUGCCUGUUGAGCUGGAUUACCUCACUUCUAGUUUUCCUUUGCAAUGGAGUGUGUAUGGGGUCUAUGUGUUUAUUGAUGACUUUCUUAGUGGAGAACCAGGCCUCUAGGAAUUCCCGUGCUUGUCUCUGCAUCGCCUGUUCCAGGAUCUUGGUGUUGUCCCAAUCGAAUUGGCCAUUUUCUUUAUCUGUGUGGAUGGAAAUUAUGAGUAUUGGUUGUGUCUUUUUGUUGCUAGUUGAUGUUCAUGUACAAUUAUUAAUUGUUUUGUUUAAACUUUAAACUUGUCAGGUAUCAGUCAUUCAAAAAAUCUGAUAUCGGUUAUUCAGAAAGUCUGGUUAGGGCCAGGUUUGACUGUUUUAAUUUUACUGUGUUGUGAUUCCUUCCUGUCUGUCCAAUGUAAUGUCUGUCGCAGUCUUUGCAGGGAAUCUUGUAUAUAACAUUGGUUCUGUCCAUGGUGGGUAGAGGGUCUUUGUUUUGGGUUAACAGUUGGCAUAGGUUUGGCGUGAGUUUGUUUGCUACUCUGAUGCUCAGUGAUCAUAGGAGUUUUGUGGUCAGUUUAGAUGUGAUCUUGAACUAUUGAAAUAAACUAUUUCCACUGGCCAGAGGUUCUGGGCAUAGUGGGCAUUGUCUAAAAAUUAUUCACAGACUAUUCACGAUAGACAGUGUGAAGUAUUUCCACACACAGGGAGUAGUAGAUGUAUGGAACUAUUUUCCCCAAAAGACAGUGAAUGCUAGAUCAGUAGUCAGUUUUAAACCUGAGAUAGAUUUUUUUUAAGCAAAGGUAUUAAGGGAUAUAGGCCAAAGACAGUAUAUGGAUUUGGGCCACAGAUCAGACGUGAUCUCAUUGAAUGACAUAACAGGCUCAAGUGGCUGAAUGGCCUGCUUCUGUUCCUAUAACAAUGUGGAGAGCGAUGAUAAGUAAAUUUGCGGAUGAUGCAAAAACAGGUCACAUGGUUAAUAGUGAGGAUGAAAGUCUUAGAUUACUGAAAGAUACAGGCAGAUGGGCAGAUCAAUGGCAGAUGGAACUUAAUCCUAAAAAGUGUGAGGAACAGAGAGAUCUUGGGGUGGAUACAGCACAGGAAUGGGCAUUUUAGCUCACAAUGUUGUGCUGAAUGUGACACCAAAUUAAACAAAUCCCUUUCGCCUGCCCUUGGCCAAAGUUGCCUGAAGAUACCAGUACAGGAUAACGGGGUGGUUAAGCAGGGGCUCUUGCCUUUUUCAGCAGUGGCAUAAGAGUAGGGAGGUUACUUCGGAGUACAAAACUUUGGUGAGGCCCCGGCCAGAGAACUGUGUGCAGCUCUGGUCACCACACUGCACUGGAGAAUGUGCACUUUUCAGGAUUAAGUUCACAGUACUCAGUCCAUCUGACGAGCCUAUCUAUAUCAUCCUGCAGUCUAAGGUUUUCCUCCUCUAGAUUUACCACACCACUAGUUUCUGCAUCAUAGAACAUAGAACAUAGAAACCUACAGCACAGGAACAGGCCCUUCAGCCCUCCAAGCCUGCGCCAAUCAAGAUCCUCUGUCUAACCUGUCAACUAUUUUCUAACGGUCUGUGUCCAUUUGCUCCCUGCCCAUCCAUGUACCUGUCCAAAUAUAUCUUAAAAGAUGCUAACGUGUCUGCGUCUACCACCUCCGCUGGCAACGCAUUCCAGGCACCCACCACCCUCUGUGUAAAGAACUUUCCAUGCAUAUCUCCCUUAACUUUCCUCCUCUCACUUUGAACUCAUGACCUCGAGUAAUUGAAUCCCCCACUCUGGGGGAAAAAGCUUCUUGCUAUCCACCCUGUCUAUACCCCUCAUGAUUUUGUAGACCUCAAUCAGGACCCCCUCAAUCUCUGAUUUUCUAAUGAAAAUAAUCCUAAUCUACUCAACCUCUCUUCAUAGCUAGCACCCUCCAUACCAGGCAACAUCCUGGUGAACUUCCUCUGCACCCUCUCCAAAGCAUCCACAUCCUUUUGGUAAUGUGGCGACCAGAACUGCACACAGUACUCCAAAUGUGGCCGAACCAAAGUCCUAUACAACUGCAACAUGACCUGCCAACUCUUGUACUCAAUACCCCGCCCAAUGAAGGAAAGCAUGCCAUAUGCCUUUUUGACCACCCUGUUGACCUGCGUUGUCACCUUCAGGGAACAAUGGACAUGAACACCCAGAUCUCUCUGUUCAUCAAUUUUCCCCAGGACUUUUCCAUUUACUGUAUAGUUCGCCCUUGAAUUUGAUCUUCCAAAAUGCAUCACCUCGCAUUUGCCUGGAUUGAAUUCCAUCUGCCAUUUAUCUGUCCAACUCUCCAGUCUAUCUAUAUUCUGCUGUAAUCUCUGACAGUCCCCUUCACUAUCAGCUACUCCACCAAUCUUAGUGUCAUCUGCAAACUUGCUGAUCAGACCACCCACACCUUCCUCCUGAUUAUUUACAUAUAUCACAAACAACAGUGGUCCCAGCACAGAUCCCUGUGGAACACCACUGGUCACAGGUCUCCAAUUUAAAAAACUCCCUUCUACUACUACUGUCUGUCUCCUGUUGCCUAGCCAGUUUUUUAUCCAUCUAGCUAGCACAUCCUGGACCCCAUGUGACUUCACUUUCUCCAUCAGCCUGCCAUGGGGAACCUUAUCAAAAGCCUUACUGAAGUCCAUGUAUAUGACAUCUACAGCCUUUCCCUCAUCAAUUAACUUUGUCGCGUCCUCAAAGAAUUCUAUUAAGUUGGUAAGACAUGACCUUCCCUGCACAAAACCAUGUUGCCUAUCACUGAUAAGCCCAUUUUCUUCCAAAUGGGAAUAGAUCCUAUCCCUCAGUAUCUUCUUCAAUAGCUUCCCUACCGCUGACAUCAGGCUCACCGGUCAAUAAUUACCUGGAUUGUCCUUGCUGCCCUUCUUAAACAAGGGGACAACAUUAGCAAGUCUCCAGUCCUCUGGGACCUCACCAAUGUCUAAGGACACUGCAAAGAUAUCUGUUAAGGCCCCGGCUAUUUCCUCUCUCGCUUCCCUCAAUAACGUGGGAUAGCUCCCAUCCGGACCUGGGGACUUGUCCACCUUAAUGUCUUUUAGGAUACCUAACACUUCCUCCUUCCUUAUCUCAACUUGACCUAGAGUAAACAAACAUCUAUCCCUAACCUCAACAUCCGUCAUGUCCCUCUCCUUGGUGACUACUGAUGCAAAGUACUCGUUAAGAAUGUCACCCAUUUUCUCUGAAUCAGCGCAUAUCUUUCCUUCUUUGUCCUUAAGUGGGCCAAUCCUUUCUCUAGAUACCCUCUUGCUCUUUAUAUAUGAAUAAAAGGCUUUGGGAUUUUCCUUAACCAUGUUUGCCAGCAAUACCUCAUGUCCUCUCUUAGCCCUCUUAAUGCCUCAUUUCAGAUUCGCUUUACAUUCCCGAUGUUCUUGCAAAGCUUCAUCUGUCUUCAGUCGCCUAGACCUCAUGUAUGCUUCCUUUUUGCUCUUGGCUAGUCUCACAAUUUCACCUAUCAUCCAUGGUUCCCUCAUCUUGCCUUUUCUAUUCCUAAUUUUCACAGGAACAUGUCCCUCCUGCACGCUAAUCAACCUCUCCUUAAAAGCCUCCCACAUAUCAAAUAUGGAUUUACCUUCAAACAGUUUCUCCCAAUCUACAUUCCUCAGAUCCUGCUGAAUCUUGGUAUAGUCGGCCUUCCCCCAGUUUAGUACUCUUCCUUUAGGACCACUCCUAUCCUUGUCCAUGAGUAUCAUAAAACUUACAGAAUUGUGGUCGCUAUUUCCAAAGUAGUCCCCUACUGUAAUAUCAACCACCUGGACGGGUUCAUUCCCCAGCACCAGGUCCAGUAUGGCCCCUUCCUGAGUUGGACUACAUAGAUACUGCUCUAGAAAACCCUCCUGGACACACCUUACAAAUUCUGCUCCGUCUUGACCCCUAACACUAAGUGAAUCCCAGUCAAUGUUGGGAAAAUUAAAAUUUCCCAUCACCACCACCCUGUUUCUCCUACACCUUUCCAUUAUCUGUUUACAUAUUUGUACCUCUAUUUCACGCUCGCUGUUGGGAGGCCUGUAGUACAACCCCAACAUUGUUACUGCAUCCUUCCUAUUUCUGAGUUCUACCCAUAUUGCCUCACUGCUUGAGUCCUCCAUGGGGCCCUCCUUCAGUACUGCUGUGAUAUUGUCUUUGACCAUUACUACAACUCCUCCACCCCUUUUACCUCCCUCUCUAUCCCGCCUGAAGCAUCGAUAUCCUGGCUAGUUGCCAAUCAUGCCCUUCCCUCAACCAAGUCUCAGUAAUAGCAAUAACAUCGUACCACCAGGUACCAAUCCAAGCCCUAAGUUCAUCUGCCUUAUCUACUACACUUCUCACGUUAAAACAAAUGCAGCUCAGACCACCUGUCCCUUGUGUUCAUCAUCUGCACCCUGACUACUAUUCACUUUAGUCACACUGACUCUAGUUCCCUACAGGCUUUCAUUUCCACCACUUUUCUGUCCAAUAUUUGGUUCCCAUCCCCCUGCCACAUUAGUUUAAACUCUCCCCCACAGCAUUAGCAAAAGCACCCCCAAGGACAUUGGUUCCAGUCCGGUUCAGGUGUAGACCGUCCAAUUUGAAAUAGUCCCACCUUCCCCAGAACUGGUUCCAAUGUCCCAAAAAUCUGAACCCCUCCCUCCUACACCAUCUCUCAAGCCACGCAUUCAUCCUAGCUAUUCUUUCAUUUCUGCACUGACCAGCACGUGGCACUGGUAGCAAUCCUGAGAUUACUAUCUUUGAGGUCCUACUUUUUAACUUGGCUCCUAACUCCCUAAAUUCUGCUUGUAGGACCUCAUCCCGUUUUCUGCCUAUAUCGUUGGUGCGUAUAUGCACCACGACAACUGGCUGUUCGCCAUCCCCUUUCAGAAUGUUCUGCAGCCAAUUGUAGACAUCCCUGACCCUGACACCCCUGACGAACUUCCUGAUCAUUGCUCCUACAUUCAUAAUAAAAACCAA